rnacentral:rRNA from 1 species
GAUGAACGCUGGCGGCGUGCCUAAUACAUGCAAGUCGAGCGAACAGACGAGGAGCUUGCUCCUCUGACGUUAGCGGCGGACGGGUGAGUAACACGUGGAUAACCUACCUAUAAGACUGGGAUAACUUCGGGAAACCGGAGCUAAUACCGGAUAAUAUAUUGGACCGCAUGGUUCAAUAGUGAAAGACGGUUUUGCUGUCACUUAUAGAUGGAUCCGCGCCGCAUUAGCUAGUUGGUAGGGUAACGGCUUACCAAGGCAACGAUGCGUAGCCGACCUGAGAGGGUGAUCGGCCACACUGGAACUGAGACACGGUCCAGACUCCUACGGGAGGCAGCAGUAGGGAAUCUUCCGCAAUGGGCGAAAGCCUGACGGAGCAACGCCGCGUGAGUGAUGAAGGUCUUCGGAUCGUAAAACUCUGUUAUUAGGGAAGAACAAAUGUGUAAGUAACUAUGCACGUCUUGACGGUACCUAAUCAGAAAGCCACGGCUAACUACGUG